GCUUGAGUCCAAAUUUCAAUAUUUCACACUUGUCACUAGAUUGGUUACCAAAGGUUGUGCUGAUAAGAAGCAAACACUGAACAAGGUUUCGUCUCCAGGCGUUGAAAGGGUAGUUCGAAUUCCAGAAGAGCUGGAUCAGUUCAAGGAUCGACCUAUGUAUGUGAAAUAUAUAGUGAGAUAGUUGCAUCAGAUUCAUCCUUGGAAAGUGGUGUUUUCAGGCUCAUUUCUUUAGACAUAGAAACAAAAAUUUCCACUUGGGCGUGGCAGAUCUGAGGUUAAAUAGAGAAAAAACAGGGAAAGGAAAACCACUAGGCAAAAAACACAAAGAGAGUGGCACAUGAACACACCCUUUCAUUCCUUGCACUUAGUCCGACUGUAUUCUGAAAUUUGAAUGUUCUUUUUGUUUAUCCCCGAGAUCAUGCAUGCCUGCAGCAAGCAUCCGCAAUACUCAUUAAUGUAUCAUAGAAAUAGCUAUGCCAAAAUAUGUAGUGGGUUCACAAUGGCCAUAUCUGGCAUAACAAUCUUUCUUCCAAAUAAUAAGGUGUACCAAUUUACUUUAUUGUACAUAUCUGAAUAAAACUUGACUUCUUGCUCAAAUAAAAUUUUUCGUUUACCCAAAUGAGGUGAGUAUCCAAGUGGACAACUACAGAAGUGAAGAGUGAUGUGAACGUGACAACUACCAGCAUAGUUUGGAGAGGUUCUAUGUUCGACCUGGACAAAAGUCUCUGGAGAUUGGAAAAUUUUGUGCGUCUUGCCAGAGGUUAAGAAUAAAAUACGUGGACAAAAGACUCCUGGGCUUGGAAAAUAUUCCGUCUUGUUAGAAGUUAAGAAUACAAAAUAAACAAAGGCUUCUGAACCCACAAACUGUUUCAUAUGGAGUACGUGUAGGGUAGCUGCUUAAGUGGUGUAUGGGAGAGUUGGGCAUCUAUUAUUACUUACAUUGUUCUCUAGUUGUUAAUGCAGAAAAAGUUGUAUUUCUUGAUCAUACAUCAUGAUCUCCUGGGUAGAGGACUUGAUAAUUUGUGAAUUGUGAAACAGAAGAGCCUCAGUCAGUCGUGUCUUUUUCUUCACUCUCUUUUUUUCGGUACAUUGGAAAUUUUCAAAGGGAGGGGUUUGUAAGAGAUUUAACCCUUGACCUUCUAUUGCUUCUUUUGGCUCACUUCAUUUGACUUUAUUAAAAGCAAAAGAACUGUUGUAUGCUCAUUUUUGCUGGAGAGUCACAAGUUCAACUUUUGACAGGGUACAUGUUACUUUCACUUGCAUCAUUCAAAUUGAAGGUAAUUCCACGGUGUGGAACUCUGGGCCAUAAAGUU